UGAAUACGAGACGCUAAGGCGUCGAAGUAGUGUAUGUCAUACUUCCAAGAAAAGCUUGCACUGUCAUAAGUAAAAAAUGCCUGUACCAUAACCGACACAGGUGGGUAGGUAGAGUAUACUAAGGGGCGCGAGAUAACUCUCUCUAAGGAACUCGGCAAAAUAACUCCGUAACUUCGGGAGAAGGAGUACCUUAUUCUAUAAGGUUGCAAUAACAAGAUCCAAGCAACUGUUUAUCAAAAACACAGGUCUCCGCUAAGUCGUAAGACGAUGUAUGGGGGCUGACGCCUGCCCAGUGCCAGAAGGUUAAAGAAGUCGGUUAGCAUUAGCGAAGCUGGUAACUGAAGCCCUGGUGAACGGCGGCCGUAACGAUAACGGUCCUAAGGUAGCGAAAUUCCUUGUCGGGUAAGUUCCGACCCGCACGAAAGGCGUAAUGAUUUGGAUACUGUCUCGGAGAGGGGCUCGGUGAAAUAGACUUGUCUGUGAAGAUGCGGACUACCUGCACCAGGACAGAAAGACCCUAUGAAGCUUUACUGUAACUUGAAAUUGAAAUUGGACUUUAUUCGCGCAGUAUAGGUGGGAGGUGUUGAUUAUAAUCUUGCGGGAUUAUUGGAGCCAUCAGUGAGAUACCACUCUUGUAAUGUUAGAUUUCUAACUUUGAAUCAUUAUCUGGUCAAAGGACAGUUUCAGGCGGGCAGUUUGACUGGGGCGGUCGCCUCCCAAACGGUAACGGAGGCGUACAAAGGUUUCCUCUGAACGGGUAGAAAUCGUAUCUAGAGUGUAAAGGCAUAAGGAAGCUUGACUGUGAGACCUACAAGUCGAACAGGGACGAAAGUCGGUCUUAGUGAUCUGACGGUACUGAGUGGAAAGGCCGUCACUCAACGGAUAAAAGUUACUCUAGGAUAACAGGCUGAUCUCCCCCAAGAGUUCACAUCGACGGGGAGGUUUGGCACCUCGAUGUCGGCUCAUCGCAUCCUGGGGCGGUAGUACGUCCCAAGGGUUGGGCUGUUCGCCCAUGAAAGCGGUACGCGAGCUGGGUUCAGAACGUCGUGAGACAGUUCGGUCCAUAUCCGGUGUAGGCGUUAGAAUAUUGAGAGGAGCCUUCUUUAGUACGAGAGGACCGAGAAGGACAUACCUCUGGUGUACCAGUUAUCGUGCCAACGGUAAACGCUGGGUAGCUAUGUAUGGAGUGGAUAACCGCUGAAAGCAUCUAAGUGGGAAGCCCACCUCAAGAUAAGUAUUCUC
rnacentral:rRNA from 1 species